rnacentral:rRNA from 1 species
GACGAACGCUGGCGGCGUGCUUAACAUAUGCAAGUCGAACGAUGAAGCCGGAGCUUGCUCUGGUGAAUUAGUGGCGAACGGGUGAGUAACACGUGAGUAACCUGACCUUGACUCUGGGAUAACUGCUAGAAAUGGUAGCUAAUACCGGAUACGACCCUCGGAGGCAUCUUCAGGGGGUGGAAAGAAUUUCGGUCAAGGAUGGACUCGCGGCCUAUCAGCUAGUUGGUGAGGUAACGGCUCACCAAGGCGACGACGGGUAGCCGGCCUGAGAGGGUGACCGGCCACACUGGGACUGAGACACGGCCCAGAUGCCUACGGGAGGCAGCAGUGGGGAAUAUUGCACAAUGGGCGCAAGCCUGAUGCAGCAACGCCGCGUGAGGGAUGACGGCCUUCGGGUUGUAAACCUCUUUUAGCAGGGAAGAAGCGAAAGUGACGGUACCUGCAGAAAAAGCACCGGCUAACUACGUGCCAGCCGCCGCCGUAA